AUGAUGAUGUCACUGACUCUACUGCUGGGCACCCUGGGGCUCCUUGUUCAGGGUUCAUCAGGACAAAUCAUCCUGACUCAGUCUCCUGGAUCUCACUCUGUUGCUCCAGGACAGACUAUCUCCAUCAGAUGUAAAACCAGUUCAACUGUUAGAGCUAGUUUGGGUACUACCUGGCUCCACUGGUACCUUCAGAAAUCAGGAAAAGUUCCUAAACUCCUGAUUUAUACAGCUACAACCCGUCAGUCUGGAGAUUCAAAUCGUUUUAGUGGAAGUGGAUCAAACACUGACUUCACUCUGACCAUCAGUAGAGUUCAGGCUGAAGAUUCAGGAGUUUACUACUGUCAGCAGAGUCUCAGCACACAGAUCACACAGUGA